rnacentral:rRNA from 1 species
CCUACGGGAGGCAGCAGUGGGGAAUUUUGGACAAUGGGCGCAAGCCUGAUCCAGCAAUGCCGCGUGAGUGAAGAAGGCCUUCGGGUUGUAAAGCUCUUUUGUCAGGGAAGAAACGGCUGAGGCUAAUAUCCUCGGCUAAUGACGGUACCUGAAGAAUAAGCACCGGCUAACUACGUGCCAGCAGCCGCGGUAAUACGUAGGGUGCAAGCGUUAAUCGGAAUUACUGGGCGUAAAGCGUGCGCAGGCGGUUUUGUAAGUCUGUCGUGAAAGCCCCGGGCUUAACCUGGGAAUUGCGAUGGAGACUGCAAGGCUUGAAUCUGGCAGAGGGGGGUAGAAUUCCACGUGUAGCAGUGAAAUGCGUAGAGAUGUGGAGGAACACCGAUGGCGAAGGCAGCCCCCUGGGUCAAGAUUGACGCUCAUGCACGAAAGCGUGGGGAGCAAACAGGAUUAGAUACCCUGGUAGUCCACGCCCUAAACGAUGUCUACUAGUUGUCGGGUCUUAAUUGACUUGGUAACGCAGCUAACGCGUGAAGUAGACCGCCUGGGGAAGUACGGUCGCAAGAUUAAAACUUNAAAGGAAUUGACGG